CCUACGGGAGGCAGCAGUCGAGAAUCAUUCACAAUGGGGGAAACCCUGAUGGUGCGACGCCGCGUGGGGGAAUGAAGGUCUUCGGAUUGUAAACCCCUGUCAUGUGGGAGCAAAUUAAAAAGAUAGUACCACAAGAGGAAGAGAAGGCUAACUCUGUGCCAGCAGCCGCGGUAAUACAGAGGUCGCAAGCGUUGUUCGGAAUCACUGGGCGUAAAGCGUGCGUAGGCUGUUUCGUAAGUCGUGUGUGAAAGGCGCGGGCUCAACCCGCGGACGGCACAUGAUACUGCGAGACUAGAGUAAGGGAGGGGGAACCGGAAUUCUCGGUGUAGCAGUGAAAUGCGUAGAUAUCGAGAGGAACACUCGUGGCGAAGGCGGGUUCCUGGACAUUAACUGACGCUGAGGCACGAAGGCCAGGGGAGCGAAAGGGAUUAGAUACCCCUGUAGUC
rnacentral:rRNA from 1 species